AUCAGAAUUGAAUUUCUCAUUUGGACAAGAGUACAGACUUGAAUUUCUCAUUACCAUAUCACAAUCAUUAUAAGCAACUUGAAUUCCAAAGCUUAGAGAUUUGACUAACCAAUGUAAUCUGUAUGCAUGUGAUAGUUACAAAAAAACAAUUGAUUAGAAUUGAAUUUCUCAUCUUGGCUAACAAUAUAAAGGCCAAAAUGCAGGCUUUGAAAGAGCAGCAGAGUUCCUAUAGGAUCCUAUAUCCCAACCAUAUCAUCAAGUCUGUGAUUGGAUUCAAAAUUCAGUGUAAAAAUAAGCCAUAAAUAAAAUUAAUCAAACCAAAGUGCAGACCUUCUCUACCGAGGAAUGGUUUGCACAUCUUCAUAACAAGCUUCUCUAACAAAUUCAAUGAUCAAUUUUGCAACAGAAUCAGGCUUUUCCACAUGAGGAAUAUGACCACACUCUGGUAUCUGUCGUAUGAUUGCAUUUGGAAGUUCGGAGUGCAAUCUCACUGCUAGUUUGUUGCUAAUAAUUUGGUCAUCCUCACCCCAAAUUAUAAGUGUCCUCUUCUUAACCUUCUCUAUCUGAGCAUUGACAUUAUAACCGCCGCUAAUCAUAAAAUUCACAGUUGCAUCCUCCCACCAAGGAUAUAAACAGUGUAGGCGGCCCACAUUCAUCCAGUCAAUGCUGGUGCUUAAAGAUAUACCAUUGAAGGCCAGAAAAUUAACAUACAAGCGGAGGGGGACACUCUUCAAUAAAUAAACCCCAGCGUAUGCUAAUGCUCUUGGUAACUUGGCUAGGUCUCCUGUGCCUUCAGCAUACACACUUGCAUCAAUGAAAACCAGUUUCUCUACCUGAAAAGAUAACUUAAAAAAUAUCAGCUUAUGGCCAUCAGAUGCAAUAUAACUUUUAUCACUUUCUUAAAAUAUUUACAUUCUUUAGGCACAAAUGUAAAUGCUCAGUUACUGAUAAUGUAUUCAAUAUUUACAGCUUCUGGAUGGUUGACAGCAAAGUCAAUUGCGACAGCAGCACCAAGGCUUGGUCCAACCAAGAUGAUGGGUCUCCUUAUGUGGGACCUCCAAAACUGCAGUCAGUAUGAAGUGAGCCAAGUCAAUCUUAGAACACUGUAAAAAAAGUGAAAAUAAUAAUAAAUUGUUCAAAUACUCGCUGCUUUAAGCCUUGAUCCCCAUCCCGACUUCAUCGAGGGAAAAACAAGGACAAAGUCACAAUUUGGAAACUCCAUGACAGAGCAUCAAAUGUCAUUCUAUUUAUUGCAUGGUAAAUUUGAUAGCAUAUAAGCUGAUAUAUUGUGGAGUAUGUUUCUAUGUUAUGGUCUGACCUUGACAUAAAAUUAAACAUUUUCCUUAGAUAUAUUAGCCAAGAAUAUGAGAAAUUUUGCUUCAUAUAUCCAAGUCAAGACUCAAAAUGAUGAGAAAAAUUAGACGAAGUACCUGGUACAAGUGAUUGCGCUUAGACGCAACAUCACAUGAGGGCAGUCUUUCUGGAAACCAUAGGGGGAAAAGGGGUUAUAAUUUGGGGCAAGGAAGAAAGAAAGAUAUAUGUAGAAUUUCAACCACAUGAAAACGUGCUAAGGCAUGCACAACAAACCUAAAUCAGAGAAACCCCAACCAAGAAUGUCAACAGCCCAAGUCUCCAUGCCAGCCUCCUCAAGCAGUGGAAAUGUAUAUCUCCAUUCUAAACAAGAACUGAAUUAUAACAUGUAGUGAACUCUAGAGACACAUUAAUCAGCUACUCUUUUUCUUUUCUAUUUUUGGUGAAACAAAUUGCAAUAUUGAAUACAUUAUUAGAGACCUGUCAAAACCAUGGAGCAGAACCAUUGGACUUGUCUUGCUUUGUACCAAAGGCUUGACACAACUACUCAUGAUACAUCUCUCUGAGAAACUAACCUACAUUUUGAGCAAGAAUACUGAUGUUAAUGAAGAUACCCAAUUUGAGAUGUCUUCCGAAUUAGAAGUAAGCAAGAUGAAACUUGAGACCACAGAAUCAUGGCAGACUGGAAAUAGGUGAAAUUUUGUUCAGAUUCACAAACUCUGAUUAGAUAAUAGACAGCGAAAAAGACCAAGAAAUUUGUUACGUAAAAAUUAAACACAAAUGUUACGUUAUGUCAAUUUUCAUCAAAGUCUCCUACUAAACAAAAAAAUCCAAGUCCCAGCUUUUAAAAACCUCAAAAAAUCGACAUCCUUAUUAAUUGCAAUCAAAACCCAUAAAACUAUAGCCUGAGACAUUCAAGUUAAAUCAUUUCAUCUAUCUACUGGAACCAAAACUAAAUCAUUGGCAAGGCUUGGAAGUUGGAACAGUAAUAAAAGCAAAGGCUAUUACACACAAGUCAAGGAGAAAUGGAUUUCUGUCCUCUGGCAUUACUGAGUAUAUUUAUUCUGAAUUCUAUCGCAUCCAACUACCUUAUCAGUAACCUUUUACAGGCCAAUACUCAAAUCUCAGAGACAAAAGAACAUGCAUCCAAAGACCGAAAAAUCUGAGAAGCUAUCAGAUAAACUAAUCACUAAAGAAAGAGCUAACAACGAAAAAAAAUAUAAAAAGAAAAAUGAGUGUACAGGUAGCCUUUCGAUUCUUGAGGCUAGCUUUCUUGCAAAAGGGUCUUUGAUAUUCUCAACUUCACUGGGCAGAAAAGAAGGAAAAUUUUGCGCGAAAACUGCCAAACGCUUUCGGGCUCUGCAUUUUCUGGGCAUUAACAAUGCAGGAGUAGCUGUAAGGGCGAACAUUUUCUUGGCACCCGAGGUUUCUCUAUCCCUCCAUCGUAUAUUACAGGCUCUACGAGAACAGAGAAGUGGGAUAAGUCGUCUGAGAACCAGUGCCGUUUGGCCCAUACCAGUGGACUGC
rnacentral:misc_RNA from 1 species